UCCUAUCAUUUUGGGAGGCCAAGGCUGGUGGAUCACCUGAGGUUAUGAGUUUGAGACGAAUCUGGCCAACGUGGAGAAACCCUGUCUCUACUAAAAA